CCUGGCGGCGAUAGCGCGGUGGUCCCACCUGACCCCAUGCCGAACUCAGAAGUGAAACGCCGUAGCGCCGAUGGUA
rnacentral:rRNA from 1 species